AUAGGAGAGGGUAACACUGUUGUUGCUGUUCCUGUGCUUUUCUAUAUACCUAUCACUGCAGUGAAAUGGCAAAGUACUGAGGGUAACAAGGAGAGGGACAAAGAGAAUAGGACACAACAGUGAAGACCCUGACAGGAUCAUGCUUAAGCGGGAUGGUUAGCUGCUGUCCAGCCAGUGACAGUCACAAUCUCCAGAGCAACAGUGACUCCAGCUGGAUUGAUUGAAAGUCCCUGAAGCACUUUUCAUUGGAUCCUUACACCCAAAUGGCUCACGGUUCUAUAUGAUCAGUUCUACAUCUGCAAGAACGCUACCCACUGAAUAUUUACAAGUGUGGUUUCCAUGUACAAUUUCAUCAGUUCUAAGGCUGGAAAUGUCUGGAGGAGUUUCUUUAAUGAUCAAGGUCUCCACUCAGGAUAUUAAUACAUUUAAACGUGCAGAUAGGCACUAUCUAAUAGUGUCUAUGGACUAGGUACAACAUACCCUGUCUAUCCCUUCUGAAGAGCCCAUGUGUAUGACAGUUGUGAGAUUCAUCCCACCAUGUUUCCUGAUAGCAACCAGAUCAAAAUUUUCCAAGCACAUCAUGGUUUUCAACUCCUCCUGCUUAUCUUCCAUGCUGUGUAUUAGUGUAAAGGCUUUGAUCUAGGACUUAAACUGAUCUUUUUACCUAGACAGCUUGCAAAAAUAUUACUUUGUUUAUCUUCCUACAUGAUAUCUUCUAUGCUCUUUUGUACUAGUAGAUGAAUAAAGUUGGUAUAUAUGCUGAAGUCCUAAUACUCUGCUUUAGGUAUGGUAAAACAAAAUCAGACAUCAUUUGCUAUCCCAAUUCUGAGGACCACUCUGAAAAUAAUUCCUCCUAUUUUAUUAUGUUGGCCCACAACUUCAGAAACAGAUAUUGGUGCCUUGCAGUCAGAUCUUCCCACCAGUACCCCAUCUUGUUUCCAUGCAACAGAUGACAGCAGAGGAGCAGUCUGACAAAAUGGCAUCUGACAUGGAAGUGUAUAUGAAGCAAAGGUGUGUCAUUAAAUUCCUGCAUGAGGAAAAAAUGGCACUCACUGACAUUCACUGAUAGUUUACUGAACAUUUUUCAAGACCAUACAGUGGAUGUGAGGAUGGUGAAGUGGUGAGUGGUACAAUUCAGCAAUGAUGCCAUCAUAGCAGCUGUGAAGCAGUGGGUCACCUCCACUGGUGCAGAUUUUUACAACCACAUCAUGCAGACUCUUGCUUUCCACUGUCUAAAAUAAGACAGUGGAAAGCAAGUGGUGACUAUGUUGCAAAUGAGUGCUUUGAAUACAAGUGUUUUGUAGCUGAGAUUUCCUCUAUCAAAUAGCAUUAUUGUGCCCUUUGUUGCAGUUUCUAUGGAAAUUAAUAGGAAGCAUUACUUUCAGAGCUACCUACGUACAACCAUUUCAGAUGUAAUUCUUUUGAAUUGCAAGUCUACCUGUUCAAGACUACCCUAUCGCUCAAGUAAAAAAAAAAAAAAAAAAAGAAAUACCUGAGCAAAACAAAUUGGAUUUGGUCUGUGGUUUCUGAAGCAUCACAUGGAGGGAAAUUUUCUUGUACUUACUUUUAUUUAUUUAGUUAUUUUAAAUUAAUGACUUAACAUCUAUGAGUCUUGAUCAGAACUCUUCAGCCUCCAGCUGAAUGAAAUUGUUGUUCCUUGCUUAGAAUAACCUGUUGCUUAAGACAAAGCACAAGCUGGCCUCCUUCUUAUUGUAAUUAACUUCAUUUUAUAUUAAUCAAGCAUGGCUGUUUCUUCUGAUAGUAUAUAAUAAAGGGAUAUAGUCAGUUUU
ensembl:lncRNA